rnacentral:rRNA from 1 species
AUUGAACGCUGGCGGCAUGCUUUACACAUGCAAGUCGAGCGGCAGCGCGGGGGCAACUCUGGCGGCGAGCGGCGAACGGGUGAGGAAUGCAUCGGAACGUGCCCGGGAGUGGGGGAUAACGCCGCGAAAGCGGCGCUAAUACCGCAUAUUCUCUGUGGAGGAAAGUGGGGGACCGCAAGGCCUCACGCUUUCGGAGCGGCCGAUGUCGGAUUAGCUUGUUGGUGGGGUAAAGGCUUACCAAGGCGACGAUCCGUAGCUGGUUUGAGAGGAUGAUCAGCAACACUGGGACUGAGACACGGCCCAGACUCCUACGGGAGGCAGCAGUGGGGAAUCUUAGACAAUGGGCGCAAGCCUGAUCUAGCCAUGCCGCGUGGACGACGAAGGCCUUAGGGUUGUAAAGUCCUUUCAGAUGGGAAGAUAAUGACGGUACCAUCAGAAGAAGCCCCGGCUAACUCCGUG